rnacentral:tRNA from 1 species
GGCUCUGUGGCGCAACGGAUAGUGCUUUUGGACUUCUAGGUUCAACGUUGGAGCUAUUCAAAGAUUGUGUGUUCAAGUCCCUCCAGAGUCA